rnacentral:lncRNA from 1 species
GCAGCUUGUAACUGAAAAGAUUUAGGAUUACUCCUUCCCUUCUCCUAGGGUUUAUUUCCGGCCUCGCUUGUGGCUGGAUUUUGGAAAUUUGUCUCUCUGUGCAACUUGAGGUUCCAUUUCCUCACUUCUCUUGUUCUCAUUGCCCACUCGCUUUGGAUGGCCUCUCUUACUUCUCGUUUUCUCAGCUCCAGCACUGGGGAGCUUCUUAGUAGCCAAGGAGCCAGUUCUCUUCUUUUUGCCUUGGGUCAAAGGAUGUUUCUUCCGUUGCUUCCUCUGCUCUUCUCUUUGGCGGAUUUUCAUUAGUUUCUCAAAGCUUUUGGUGGUAUUUGUGUUCAUAUCAAACCAGUCCUCAGCGUGUGCAGAGUUGAUGUGAUACUUGACUCCACUCUCUGAAAUGAACUCUUUCUCACACAGGAGACACUUGUAUUUGCC